AGUGGAUGGGGAGCAACCUAGUUGUGCGUGUGUAAAGGUAGUGCCAAGAAAAGCGAUGAUCAUGUUGAAAAUCAAUUCCCGGUACCCGAAACCGACACAGGUGGGCAAGUAGAGAAUACUAAGGGGCGCGAGGUAACUCUCUCCAAGGAACUCGGCAAAUGACCCCGUAACUUAGGGAGAAGGGGUGCCACCGAGAGGUGGUCGCAGUGAAGAGGCCCAGGCGACUGUUUAGCAAAAACAUAGGUCUCUGCAAACUCGAAAGAGGAGGUAUAGGGGCUGACGCCUGCCCAGUGCCGGAAGGUUAAAGAAGUUGGUCAGUCUUAGGAUGAAGCUAGCGACUGAAGCCCCGGUGAACGGCGGCCGUAACUAUAACGGUCCUAAGGUAGCGAAAUUCCUUGUCGGGUAAGUUCCGACCCGCACGAAAGGCGUAACGAUCUGGGCGCUGUCUCGGAGAGAGGCUCGGCGAAAUAGGAUUGUCUGUGAAGAUACGGACUACCUGCAUUUGGACAGAAAGACCCUAUGAAGCUUUACUAUAGCUUGGAAUUGUGUUCGGGCUUCCUGUGCGCAGGAUAGGUGGGAGGCGUAGAAGGUAUUCUUGUGGGGAUACUGGAGCCAACGGUGAGAUACCACUCUCAGGAGGCUAGAAUUCUAACUUAAUUAAGGACAGUUUCAGGUGGGUAGUUUGACUGGGGCGGUCGCCUCCAAAAAGGUAACGGAGGCGUACAAAGGUUCCCUCAGACUGGUUGGAAAUCAGUCGAAGAGUGCAAAGGCAGAAGGGAGCUUGACUGCGAGAAGUACAGUUCGAGCAGGGUGGAAACACGGUCUUAGUGAUCCGACGGUGCUGUGUGGAAGGGCCGUCGCUCAACGGAUAAAAGUUACUCUAAGGAUAACAGGCUGAUCUCCCCCAAGAGUUCACAUCGACGGGGAGGUUUGGCACCUCGAUGUCGGCUCAUCGCAACCUGGGGCGGAAGUACGUCCCAAGGGUUGGGCUGUUCGCCCAUUAAAGCGGUACGUGAGCUGGGUUCAGAACGUCGUGAGACAGUUCGGUCCAUAUCCGAUGUAGGCGUGAGAAUAUUGAGAGGAGCCUUCCUUAGUACGAGAGGACCGGGAAGGACGCACCGCUGGUGUACCUGUUAUGAUGCCAAUUGUAAACGCAGGGUAGCCAAGUGCGGAGAGGAUAACCGCUGAAAGCAUCUAAGUGGGAAGCCCACCUCAAGAUGAGUAUUCUGGUGUAAGGUCACGGGAAGACGACCCGUAAAUAGGCACGAGGUGGAAGUGCAGAGAUGUAUGAAGCCGAAGUGUACUAAUAGACCGUCGGCUU
rnacentral:rRNA from 1 species